GACAAUGAAAUGAUGCAGAAUAUUUUACACAAUAUUCUUGCAUCUUUAAGUUGAAGACAACGAAUACAUAUAACAUUACAUUAAGGCUGCUUGACAUCCAGUUGGAACUAUUUAUCAAUAAUAGGAUCAACAUAAUGAGUGAGGUGAAUAAUUCAACAACAUCCUGAAUGGUUUGUGAAGAGUUAAAAAGUGAGUUACGGUUGAAGAACUUUGGUUUUGGUUACCCUCGUCCUAAAGUAUGCAUUCUCUCUCAGUGUGGACCCAAAUGGUUAUACCUUUUAUGUACUACUGUGUUUUUGAUCUACCAUCUGAGCUGGUUGUGUUAUGAUAUCUACGUACAUGUAGAGAAUAAAGAAACAGAUGAUGAACUGUAUUUUACGAAACUUCCGAAUUGGAGCUAUACUCUUCUUAUCACUUCAUCUAAUCUGAUAGAUUUUAUAUGUACCCUUAGUAUCCACUGUAGGAGAAAGGAUAUUUUACAUCAGAGCAAAGAUGAAGCUGUUGCGAUGCCAUGGUACUCUCAACUGAACUGGUUAUUCUUUGAAAUAAGUAACACCAUUGCAGUGAUUAUAACAAUAGGGUUUUACAGCUUUCUAAAGCCAGUUGGCACGCCUCUAGCCUUGGAAUAUCAUGUCAUCAACUCAGUAUAUGUACUGCUUAGUUUUUUCAUCUGUUCUAAACCAGUACGCGUAUUGCAUUUUAUAUAUCCCGAAAUUUACAUGGGUAUUUAUAUAGUGUUUUCAGUUAUAUAUCAACUUGGAGGAAAUAAUCCUGCUAUAUACUCGAUUCUGGAUUGGAAUCAACCUGUCCGUGCUAUGUACACCGUCUUAGCAGUAAUAUGUGUUGCAGUUCCAAUUGUUCAUAUGACAUUUUUUGGUCUUCAUAUAUUUCGUGACAGGAUUUAUAAAUGUUGUAAAAAGCAGCCAGGCAUUGAAGACAUGGAAUAUGAAGACAAAGAGGUUAAGGAGGCAACUGUUUAAGAGAACUAAUGGAGAUUUUAUGUUGUACGACAGCCAUGUACAUUUUCCGUCAUAGUAAACUUUUCGACGAAUCAAUUACUAGUAUACAGUAAUUUAUGAGAGGCGGUCCUAUAGACAUAUACACUAUAUCUAGAUAUUUUAUCAACUAAGACGUCCUCUUGAUCCAUUGGGCCAGUGUUAGCUUUGGCAUGUGUUGUCCACUUUUAUGUUAAUAUCUGACAGCUUGCGAAAUCGAGACAAAAGUAGUUUUUUUGUGAAUACAAACAUAAAAAAUA